UACGGAGGGGGCGAGUGUUGUUCGGAAUUAUUGGGCGUAAAGGGCGCGUAGGCGGCCAUGCGUGUCUUCCGUGAAAUCCCUCGGCUUAACUGAGGACGUGCGGAAGAAACUGCAAGGCUCGAGUCCGGGAGAGGGAUGUGGAAUUCCAGGUGUAGCGGUGAAAUGCGUAGAUAUCUGGAGGAACACCGGUGGCGAAGGCGGCAUCCUGGACCGGUAUUGACGCUGAGGCGCGAAAGCCAGGGGAGCAAACAGG
rnacentral:rRNA from 1 species